AGAGUUUGAUCCUGGCUCAGAACGAACGCUGGCGGCGUGCUUAAUACAUGCAAGUCGAACGUGAAUCCCGACUUCGGUUGGGAUGAAAGUGGCGAACGGGUGAGUAACACGUAAGUAAUCUGCCUUCAAGUUUGGGAUAACCCUGCCAACGCGGGGCUAAUACCGGAUGUGGUCCAGCUGACACAUGUUGGCUGGAUUAAAGGUCGCGAGGCCGCUUGGAGAUGAGCUUGCGGCCCAUUAGUUAGUUGGUGAGGUAACGGCCCACCAAGACGAAGAUGGGUAGCCGGCCUGAGAGGGUGUACGGCCACAUUGGGACUGAGAUACGGCCCAGACUCCUACGGGAGGCAGCAGUAGGGAAUUUUGCGCAAUGGACGGAAGUCUGACGCAGCAACGCCGCGUGAAGGAUGACGGCCUUCGGGUUGUAAACUUCUGUUGGAUGGGAAAAAAAGCCUAGGAAUAGGAAUUGAUGGUACCAUUCGAGUAAGCACCGGCUAACUACGUGCCAGCAGCCGCGGUAAUACGUAGGGUGCGAGCGUUGUUCGGAAUCACUGGGCGUAAAGGGAGCGUAGGCGGGAUCGUAAGUUAGGAGUUUAAUACAUGGGCUCAACCCGUGAUAUGCUUUUAAUACUGCGGUUCUUGAGUAUGGGAGAGGGUGAUGGAAUUCCAGGUGUAGCGGUGGAAUGCGUAGAUAUCUGGAAGAACACCAGUAGCGAAGGCGGUCACCUGGCCCAAUACUGACGCUGAGGCUCGAAAGCUGGGGGAGCAAACAGGAUUAGAUACCCUGGUAGUCCCAGCCGUAAACGAUGGACACUAGUUGCCGGGAGAGUCAAUCCUUUCGGUGACGAAGCUAACGCAUUAAGUGUCCCGCCUGGGAAGUACGCCCGCAAGGGUGAAACUCAAAGGAAUUGACGG
rnacentral:rRNA from 1 species